rnacentral:tRNA from 1 species
CAAAAUGUAGCCUAACUUAAAGCCCCUUGUUUACACCAAGGAAAUGCCCGUGGAACCCGGGCCAUUUUGA